UUCACGUGCGCCGCACGUUUCCAACACGCUAUUAGUUACAUUCAGUGCACCCGAUCUUUUGAAGACCAUGGUGGACUGUCCAUUACCGGGUGAGGGUGAUGAUCUCUUUAAAUGACGUCUAGGAGCUCGCUCGGUGAUCUAGAGGUAGGGUUAAGCUUUCCGAUAUCGGCCAUGGAUUGGGUUGGGAUUGGAUUAGGGUUCUAUCGAAGGAUAUAGGUGAAGAAAUCAAGCGGCCAUGACUUCCCAUUCAGACGACGAGUUCGUCGUUCUUGAAUUGACGGAUCCUUCCUCGGUUGAAGGGAAGCUUAAGCAGGAGGUCAUAUCGAUUUCCGUAUCAGAAAUCGAAGCCUGGGAUCUUCCUUUGAUUGUUCAAUCAAGAACUGUCAGAGUUCAGGCCAACCGUAGCAGGCUCAUUCAUCAGUCUUCGUACUUUCACGGUCUUCUUGGUGGAAAUUUCAGUGAAUCAAGCCUCAACUAUGUCUCAAUCCAAUGGAACAUAGAAACAAGUAUUAAUGUCCUGCAGUUUACGCAUGGUUCUUCGCUAAGUAUAACAUCUAGCAAUUUUAUCCCCCUUUUGGAGGGUGCGCUGUUUUUUGGAGUUGAGAAGCUUUUGUUGGAAUGUGAAACUUGGUUUUCUAAGAUCACUUCCAAAAGAGUGCUCUCUUCACAACAGAUAUCAUUGGGCACCAUAAUUGAAAUCUGGAAUUUCGGCUUGGAGCAUGGAAUUGGCUUUGUUGCAGAACCAUGCAAAGGCUAUCUAGCACGCAACUUUGCAUGGGCUGUUUCAUGUAGCUUGUUUGCUGAUAUUCCAUAUAGCUUAUUACAUUCCUCCUUAGACGACCCUCAGCUGACUGUGGACAGUGAGAAGCAACUCUGUGAGGCUUUUCUGAUCUGGCUUUCUAACAAUGCAAAAUGUUCAGAAUGUUUACCAAUCAUCUCGAGAAAUAACAAAUUUGACAUUCUUAAGAAGGUCAGGAUCUGCCUUUUGCCUUUGGAGUUUGCUGCAGGGCUAAGGAGACACUUUUCCCAGUUUGCAGAUGGGAUUGUUAAUACAAUCCUUGACAUGAUAAAGGAUUGUUACUCAAGCCUAUUGCGUUCCAUUACAGACGAUAAGAUAGAUAAUUUCAGAAUACGUUUAACAGGAUAUUCUGAGAGAAUAAUACUUUCAGGCUGUGCCCAUAUAACGGAGGCCUUUUUGUUUCUGGCGGUGCUUCCAUCUAAUUUGGAUGCUGCAUUGAGGAAAACAGUCUUAUCUGCUUUUACUGGACUUGAUCGUCACACUGCAGAUCAUUAUCGAAACUUGAUGAAGUCAAUUAAGAUGUUAUCUUUUGAAGCUGUGCAUGAGAUCGAUAUAUCUAAGUGUUCAAGGGUCCAUUCUGCUGCCGCUGUUAUAUGGUUGCACUUGGCAUUGCCAUCAUUAAGAACAUUAAAAGCAUCUCAUUGUUUGCAAAUUAAAUUGGAAGAUUUGUAUUGCUUGAUACAAAAGUGUCCUCUGAUUGCUGAAGUUGAUUUGACUGUUGAUGUUAGUUCCGUGAUACCCACAAAAGUAUCAGUAUUGUCUGCCAGUGCUGAAAGAUAUCAACCUUCAGAUCGCACACCCUAUAAGAUGCUGGAAGAAAUACUGUUAUCAAAUAUUGAAAAGCUUACAUUGACAAAUUCAAUUCUGUCAAAUAUCUCAAAACUGACUUUGGAAGGUCGAAAUGAUCUCAAUGAUCUGGACCUGCUGAAGCUCUCUGCUCUCUCUGAUUCUUUAUCUUACUUAAACAUUAAAGGGUGCACUCUUGUAACAGAUGCAGGCAUAUCCAAGCUUCUAUGCAAAUGCUUCAAAAUCCUUUCACUGAUUUUAUCUUACACAUCGUUUGGGAGAAAUUCAAUUCUAACACUUUGUUCUGGUCAUAUAUAUGGCUUUCCUGAAAUUCAUCAUAAUCACAAAUAUUCAAACACAAUGGCAUUUAGGCUCCAACAACUUGAUAUAAGUGGCUGUACAGGUGUUGACCAAAUUUCUAUGUUACAACUUAUGAGCCAUACAUAUAUGUUGAAGCUUCUGAGUUUAAGGGAGACUUCCCUUAUCGAUGAUGUUCUUUACAACUUCAUGGGUUCCUCUCUGGAGAGCAUUGAUGUCUCUGAGACCAUGGUUUCUAUGCAAGCUUUAACUUCUGUUGUUAGGCAAAAUCCGGGUGUCAGGAUCUUGAAAGCGACUGGCUGUAGAAACUUGCAUCAGCCCAAUUGUGAUGGUUUGAUGCUCACUGGUGGUGCCAGCUUUGAAGAUCUUCUUCACGAGUUAAGUAAGAGUUGCAUCAUGGAAGAACUGGCUUUUGGAUGGGGAUUUUCCUGUUUAACAAUGAAAGAACUAGAACCCGCUAUGAGAAAAUUAAGAGGAAUAACUCUCGGUAUUGGUGCAUCACCGGGCCAUUAUGUGCUCUGUGCACUUCCAAAGAUGUGUCCACUGCUAGAGUCUGUCAUUCUUAUUUUUCAGGUGAUUUCUGACAGUAUAUUGAGAAGUAUCCUGGAAUCCUUAAAACAUCUGCAGGUGCUAGGAUUACGCUGCUGUCUUGGUGAACUGACUUCGUUUAGCUUUCGGACCAGCAUGCCAAUGUUAAGGUCACUGAGGCUAGAGUGGGUAACUCCAUGGAUGACAAAUAAUGAUUUGGCAAUCCUGACCGAGAACUGUUCAAACAUUGUUGAACUUUCUUUGUCAGGGUGCAAACUUCUUGAUUCAGGUUAUGUGUAAAAAUUCUAAGAGGUUAUCCAGACAUCCAUGCAUGUGUUGGCAAAGGACACCAACAUUUUCUCUGAGCUGCACAGUCUGACUGCUGUGCGGGUCCCAUUUGAUUCUUGGGUGGGACACACUGCAUUUAAUAGACUCACAAGAAAUCAUUUCUUCUGGAUGGCCAGGCUUGACAUAUAUUCAUUUGGAGGACUGUGGCAAAAUAACUUCGAAUGGAGUUUCUUUUCUCUUCAAUUGCAAAGCUGUUGAAGAUCUCUUAUUACGCCACAAUGGGCGAGGUAUUGGAAGGAACUUCAUAUGUGAUGCUGCUUUAGAGUUACAGUUGCCGGUGCUCCGGAAAGUGGCACUGGAUCUCUGCGAUGCUUGUGAAGGAGGUUUUGACAGCCCAAGUCAUGCUGAGAGAUAUUCCCUCAGCACUGUGAAAAUUAGUCGCUGCAAGUCCCAGAGAUGUGGAUUUGAGCUUCAGACAGUGGAGACAUUCAAGGCAGUGCAUAAGGAAACUAUUGUUUUAGAGUGGAAUAGCAAGGAACUGCGAACAACAAUGGUGAAAGAAAGAAUAUAGCGUGGGGACAAAUGCAAAUCAAGGUCUGGGCUCACAGACGACAGAUAUUGCCCAAAGCUAUACCUCAUCCUCAGUUUUGUAAGAAACAGUAAAGCGCAACUGCUCAGAUGAGAAUCAGGAGCUGUUGAGACACAUGAUGCUAUAUAAAGGUGUGUGUUAGAGAGAGAAUUUGGCUGUACUGGAAAUUAUAAGAACAUCUUUUGGGCUUUCACAAUCACUUAGGAAAAGAUCGAAAUUAAGGUGCCAUAUUUUUCAGAUUGCUACAGGACACUGGCAAUUACAAGGAUGAUAAUUCGGGUUGUACAACUAAAUAUAGGCUCAAUAAAAUAAACUGUUCAAUAUUCGUAUUA